GAUGAAGAACGCAGCGAAAUGCGAUACUUGGUGUGAAUUGCAGAAUCCCGUGAACCAUCGAGUCUUUGAACGCAAGUUGCGCCCGAAGCCAUUAGGCCGAGGGCACGCCUGCCUGGGCGUCACACGUCGUUGCCCCCCCAUCUACUCCUUCGGGAUUGCGGGGGGCGGAUGAUGGCCUCCCGUGCGCCUCGCCGCGCGGUUGGCAUAAAUGCCAAGUCCUCGGCGACGCACGCCACGACAAUCGGUGGUUGCGAAACCUCGGUUGCCCGUCGUGUGCGGUCGUCGCGCAUCGAGGGCUCGAAAAAAUUGCCGGGUUCCGGCUUGGCUUUCAACGCGACCCCAGGUCAGGCGGGGUUACCCGCUGAAUUUAAGCAUAUCAAUAAGCGGAGGA
rnacentral:misc_RNA from 1 species